rnacentral:rRNA from 1 species
UACGUAGGGGGGCAAGCGUUGUCCGGAUUUAUUGGGCGUAAAGCGCUCGCAGGUGGUUCGUUGCGUCGUGCGUGAAAGACCCCGGCUCAACUGGGGAGGGUCGUGCGAUACGGGCGAACUGGAGGCCAGUAGGGGGAUGCGGAAUUCCGGGUGUAGUGGUGGAAUGCGUAGAGAUCCGGAGGAGCACCAGCGGCGAAGGCGGCAUCCUGGACUGGUCCUGACACUCAUGAGCGAAAGCGUGGGGGAGCGAUCCGG